rnacentral:rRNA from 1 species
UACAGAGGGUGCGAGCGUUAAUCGGAAUUACUGGGCGUAAAGCGUGCGUAGACGGCUAUCUAAGUCGGGUGUGAAAGCCCCGGGCUCAACCUGGGAAUUGCAUUCGAGACUGAAUAGCUAGGGUACGGUAGAGGGAAGCGGAAUUUCCGGUGUAGCGGUGAAAUGCGUAGAUAAUCGGAAGGAACAUCAGUGGCGAAAGCGGCUUCCCAUGGACCAGGUACCGAACGGUUCAGGCCACGAAAGGCCGUCGGGGAGCAAAACAGGGA